AGUGCUUACAGAACUAGCCACUCUAGGAAGAGAAAUGGGUUAUCAUGAUCCUUUAUCUGUGCCAGAAUCUGUCUUUCAGAAGGAAAAGCAGUCUGGAGGCAGGAACAGCUCUGCAUCACGACGAAAACACCAAACGGUGCGGCAUGCCUGGACAUCUGGUGACCCCAAUGAGAGUCCAAGAUCGAGCCCACGAUCAAGUCCCAGGGGGAGCCCUGAGCUUAAUCGUCGCUCUGGAUCUGGAAUAAUGUGGGUACCGAGUUCUACAGGUAGGGGUGUAAUUCCACUGCAGGAACAGAAAUAUGCAGUGAAACCUCGUGAUGUGUUUCAGAAGAAACAGGCAGAGCGUGAUCCUGUGAAGAGUGAGCUCAGUACUAUGAGUAAGUCCAUGUCUGAUAUAAGUAAGUCCGUGUCUGACAUGAAAGGACUGCUAGAACAAGUACUGAAAGGCAAUGGUAACGAAAAGGUGAAGCAGAACCGUAAGAGAGGCUCUGCAAGCACGUCUCCUACCAAGUCAGGUUCUCCUGAUCGGGGAGGAGAUAAGAGCAGAUCAAAAAACUAGGUGUGGCGGUGAAUGAUUCAGGCCACACUCAUCGCUCUGUUUCUGAAUGUCAAUGGUCUGACAAACCUGAACCCUAUAUCAUGAUUCCUACUGGACCAACUAGAACUGCUGUCAAAUACCUAAUAGAUACAGGUGCACAAAUUACAGUGCUAAAUGCACAACUAGCCAAGCAUCUGAAAAUAUUGCCAUCUCGGAGAAAGGUAAACAUAACAGGUGUUACAGGACAACCUGAAACAUGCUAUUUAGCCAAGGCACAGCUGUGGCUACCUGGGGAGAAAAGAGGUACCCUGGUAGAGUUAGCAUUGGCUUCGUGCAAACAUAAUAUCCUUGGGUUUGAUGUUCUAGCAGGCAGAAGAUGGCACCUUCCUGACGGAACAUUAUGGAGCUUUGGUGCUUAUGAGAGGAGGAAUAAGAGGCAAAGGUUAAUCCGUGCUCGUGUUCGCUUAUUGCAAACAGCUCCUCCAUUGCCAAAGUCACCCAUUACUUGUGUUGCACAGUAUCCAUUGCCAGCUGCAGCUAAGCAAGGUAUCACUGAAGUGAUAGCUGAUCUUGAAAAGAGACAGAUUAUCACUAGAACUCAUUCUCCUUACAAUUCACCUGUUUGGCCAGUCCGAAAAUCUAAUGGCCGAUGGAGAUUGACGGUAGAUUUCCGGAAGCUAAAUAGUAACACUCCUCCUCUUACUGCAGCAGUUCCUAGUCUUUCAUCCACAGUGACAGCAAUCCAAGCGGCUUCUCACACCUGGAUGGCGACUCUAGACGUGAAGGACAUGUUCUUCAUGGUGCCAUUGAGAGAAGAGGACAAACCGCAGUUUGCUUUUACCUGGCAAGCCUUUCUGGUUUUUUCCCCGGACUUAACAACAACAAACUGCUCGCCGAUCUAGUCUCGCCUCGGGUGGACCCCGAGUCGCGGAGACUACAUUCUGCAUGCCUGGACCCUCAUCGGGAGAAUGAGAGACUCCUUACCAAGCUAUAGACUGUGAGUAGCUGACUGACGAACUAUUAACUCAAACCAGAGACUCAAAGAACUCUCUUUAAACAUCAUAGACUCUAUAAUUUGCCAUUUUCGGAAAUGUUACUUUGAUCUCAAUCAAAAAGAAUUCACAGUGGUGGUGUAGUUUCGGGAAGAGGGAAUCCGCAUUCUUUGCAAUAAAUCACUGAUAAAAUA